UGCGAAGGAUCAUUAUCGAGCUAAUCCAAAACGAAAAAGUCUCCCAACGUGCAUACCAUCCAUUUGCAUGUUGUCGUGAGCCGCAUGGAAACUCAUACACGCGUGGUGGUAGCCGUCUGCUGUGCUUUAUCGUGCAGACAAUGGCUUAUGAGUGGCUGUGCGCUUGUUGAACAACGGUGACCAAUUUGGCGUCUACGCCUCAUCUAGCUUCCGCCUGGACCGUCGGUAGCGAUGAAAGAUGGGGAGAAAGUUCCUUUGUUUUGGUUCAUUCCAGCGCAAAGUUGAGCAGACUUAAUGAGCCACGCUCGGUGGCCGCCAAAACCCAAAACACAACCAGUCUAUUUGACAUUGUUCAGUAUGUGCUAUUAAUGUACAAAUCUUGGCGGUGGAUCACUCGGUUCGUGGAUCGAUGAAGAACGCAGCCAGCUGCGAUAAAUAGUGCGAAUUGCAGACACAUUGAGCACUAAGAAUUCGAACGCACAUUGCGCUAUCGGGUUCAUUCCCGAUGGCACGUCUGGCUGAGGGUCGAAUUAUGGCAAACUAUCUUCGAAGUUUCGAAGCUUCCGGCAAGCAGUCGUUGUGUUGUUGGUCCAAUCGACAAUACGGCGUCUCCUUGCUUAGUUGUUGUGAAGAGUGUUGUGUGAAACUCUCUAGACGUUAACACCGUACGGCGGUGAUAUUGGUGGUCGCGUAUGCCGCUUCAUAGGGGCAACAACCAGCAUACGACAAGUUCGGUUGGUUGAUGAACUGGCAACGGAGUAGUGAUCGAUGUGAUCAAGAAUGUUUGUAUUUGACCUCAGCUCAGUCGUGAUUACCCGCUGAAUUUAAGCAUAUAAUUAAGCGGAG
rnacentral:rRNA from 1 species